CCCUUAGAUGUUCUGGGCCGCACACGCGCUACACUGAAGGAGGCAGCGUGUACUCCUGGAUCGAAAGAUUUGGGUAACCCGCGAAUCUCCUUCGUGCUAGGGAUUGAGGUUUGCAAUUAUCCUUCAUGAACGAGGAAUUCCCAGUAAGUGCAAGUCAUAAGCUUGCGCUGACUACGUCCCUGCCCUUUGAACACACCGCCCGUCGCUACUACCGAUUGAAUGAUUUAGUGAGGACUUCGGACUGGGACCGAUGCGGCUUUCGGGCUGCGUCGGUAUUCUGGAAAGAUGUCCAAACUGUAUCAUUUAGAGGAAGUAAAAGUCGUAACA
rnacentral:rRNA from 1 species